UUGGAUAAAUGUAUACUUUCCCCGAUAGGUAGGCAAGAAAGAUUUUUCCAGCACCGGUAAAGAUACCAGAAAUCCCCGUCUGGUAUGAAAGAAGUUACUAUUUUAAUCCGGAAGGUUUUCGAUCUAGUUUUAGCUCAUAUCGCAAAAAUAUUAGACAUGAAUGUGUGGCUAUGUGUCUUAUGUACCCUACGUACGCAACUGGUAAUUUCGAAUUUCGAAUUACUAACUUUAAAUUUCUACUAAGUAUCUCGAAAUUAAGACAUACGUAAUUCGAAAUUUCGAGUCUGGCACUAAUGCUCUUUCUUUCUUGUUGCAGGGUUGCAAGAAACUGCGAUAUAUUUUACUUAAUAUUUUCUGUUUGCUCACUUUUAAGCUACAUGUAUUCAUAUUUCUAUGUAUUUAUGACAUUUGUGACUGAGGUUUUUUAUGUAAAAGGGUUGUCGCUUACUGCAAUAUGGAAUCAAGCGAUAAGUAAUCCAAAAACAAGACCAUAAGAUGGUUUUGUGCAAUGAUGCGGGUUUCCAUCGUAAUAUAAAGGAAAUCAGUUAGCAAAUCACAAAAAAAGAAACGGUUUCCUGCUGGCUAAAUUUUCAAAUUACCUCCCUUUUAUAUAAAAGAUGGUGAUUUGUAAUAAGUUGGAUAGUUUAUUUUUCAAAAACUAUUUAGAUAUGUGUUGACAUUAUUUUAUCAAAAAGUACAAAACUUAUAAGCGUUAGAGAUUUUGAUAUUUCCAAUGGCUUUUACAAUUUAACGUCUGAAAAUGAUGCAGUCAGUUGAAAAGGCAAUUAAAAGUAUCCGUCGUUUUGUUAAGCACCUGAGUAUUUUGGUGGCUAAAUUUGAAUCUCGUUCAAUUCCUCAAUGUUCGAUAACAUCCGCUUGUGCAUAAGAAUACUAGAUAUGUCUAUGAAUGAAAUUUGUUUAAUAGUUUACGAGUUAUAUUUUUUGAGAGAGAAAUAUUUUAAAGUAUACAUCUCUGUUAAUAGUUGCUGUUUUGCGUCGAACUUUAAAAAGGCUAUAAAACUUUAGGGGUCCGAGCAAAAAGGUACCUAACUCCAUUUUUGGUCAAAAUGGAGUUAGGACAGAACAUUCCCCACCGGAUUAACCUCCCUCAGCGGCAUAUUCUUCUGUUUAAGAAUAGAAAAUGGUAUUUCAGGUAUGUAACAUUGGGUCGUACUCCACAAUAAGUUGAUAUCAAAGAGUUCAGAGCUUUGAUGGCUGUUUCGGAAGUUUAUUGACUGAACAGCAAACAGUGCAGUCCAUAAUCAGCCUGCUCGGAUGUGCAAGCUGAUCUUGGUCUGCACUAGUCGCAAGGGUAAAACCACUUCCCGCCAGAAAGGCUAAAGGUUAAGCAGAUUGCAAUUAUUUUGACUGAAUGCGUCUAACAUGCUAAGGUUUCCAGACGAUCUUCUUGUAUUUUUUUAUUAUUUUUCUGCUUAUGUAACAGAAAUGUACACCUGUCUUGUUACGAACAUUAUAGAUACACUUGUCGCUUAAAAGCAAGUUUGUUAUAAAUACAAUGCAACGUGUUUAGACGUUUGUUUUUUUAAAUGUCACUGAUAUAUGUAUCGUAUAAAUGAAAUGUUUUAUGUGCUUUUUAAGAAAGAUAUCUAUGUUAAUCAGAAUUAAAUAGCUUAUCAUUACA
rnacentral:lncRNA from 1 species